rfam:Trichobilharzia regenti genome assembly, scaffold: TRE_scaffold0003118
GUACUGCUGAAGAGUCCCAAACAAGGACGGGGGAAACGGCUGUCCAGUAC